UUCAAACAUAAUGAAAGUAUCUCCAAAAGAAAAAGAAUAUAAACUUAAAAAAAUGGUUAUAAUGGUCAGUUUUAUGAAAUGUACAAGUAAAGUACCUGCCUUUGUACAGAAUUCCCUGAAGUGUAACAUAGAGCUCACGUUCAAACAUUUUGAUGGCAGGGGGAACCUCAAGAUCCAGAUCAGGCAUUGCAAAGCACCUGUGAUCACCUGAAAAACAAAAAACAGAGAAAGCCAAUCAACUGAUGAAGUGACCAAACGCAAGAAUCCAGCACCCGAGGCUGUGUAGACUCUGGGCAAUCAAGCUGAAGGAAUGAAGUGCUCUGGCAGUCUACUCAGGAAGCACUAUGCCCGAAGUAUAUAAGAAUAAGAUAAGGAACUUUCCUCUUUCCUGUUGGAGAAGCACCACACAAUGGAAGGGGGAGAUUUUCGCUGACCAAACCAUAACUAAGCAACAGAAUGGAUUCUGCUGUCAUUUCCUGGUUUACAAGUAAUCCUGCUAUGAUUCGGCGUAAGGUUUCGUGAACUUUCCGGGCCAGUUUUAAACUUGUGGUAUUUUGCAAGAUCUAAAGGCA